AGGAUUAUAGUUUAAUAAAAACAUUUGAUUUGCAUUCAAAAAAUAUUAUAAUUAAAUAUUUUAUCUUA
rnacentral:tRNA from 1 species